rnacentral:rRNA from 1 species
AUACGGAGGAUGCGAGCGUUAUCCGGAUUUAUUGGGUUUAAAGGGUGCGCAGGCGGGCGAUUAAGUCAGCGGUGAAAGGCUCGGGCUCAACCGGAGCAGUGCCGUUGAUACUGGUUGUCUUGAAUGCGGUCAAGGCCGGCGGAAUGGGGCGUGUAGCGGUGAAAUGCAUAGAUAUGCCACAGAACACCGAUAGCGAAGGCAGCUGGCCGGGCCUGCAUUGACGCUGAGGCACGAAAGCGUGGGGAUCGAACAGGAUUAGAUACCCUGGUAGUCCACGCUGUAAACGAUGGACACUCGUUGUCGGCGACAGACAGUCGGCGGCCAAGCGAAGGUGAUAAGUGUCCCACCUGGGGAGUACGGUCGCAAGGCUGAAACUUAAAGGAAUUGACGGGG